GACAUAGGUCGCAAACGUUAUCCGGAAUUAUUGGGCGUAAAGGAUGCGUAGAUGGUUCAGUAAGUUACUGGUGGGAAAUCGAGGCCCAACCUCGUGGAAGUUAGUAAUACUGUUGAACUUGAGUGCAGGAGAGGUUAACGGAACUUCAUGUGGAGCGGUAAAAUGCGUAGAUAUAUGAAAGAACAUCAAUAUGGCGAAGGCAGUUAACUAUUCUGCUACUGACAUUGAGGCAUGAAAGCGUGGGGAGCAAACAGG
rnacentral:rRNA from 1 species